GCGGCCUAUCAGCUUGUUGGUGAGGUAAUGGCUCACCAAGGCGAUGACGGGUAGCUGGUCUCAGCGGAUGAUCAGCCACACGGGGACUGAGACACGGCCCCGACUCCUACGGGAGGCAGCAGUGGGGAAUUUUGGACAAUGGGCGAAAGCCUGAUCCAGCGACGCCGCGUGCGGGAGGAAGCCCUUCGGGGUGUAAACCGCUGUCAGGAGGGAAGAAAACGCUCGGACUAAUACUUCGAGUGCUUGACGGUACCUUCAGAGGAAGCGCCGGCUAACUCCGUGCCAGCAGCCGCGGUAAUACGGAGGGCGCAAGCGUUGUCCGGAAUUACUGGGCGUAAAGGGGGCGCAGGCGGCUCGCUAAGUCCUGUGUGAAAUCCCGCGGCUCAACCGUGGAAUGCCGCAGGAAACUGGCGAGCUAGAGACGGGUAGAGGCGAGUGGAAUUCCCGGUGUAGCGGUGGAAUGCGUAGAUAUCGGGAAGAACACCAGUGGCGAAGGCGACUCGCUGGGCCCGUUCUGACGCUCAGGCCCGAAAGCGUGGGGAGCAAACAGGAUUAGAUACCCUGGUAGUCCACGCCGUAAACGUUGGGCACUAGGUGCUGGGAGGUGUGACCCUUUCGGUGCCGCAGCUAACGCGUUAAGUGCCCCGCCUGGGGAGUACGG
rnacentral:rRNA from 1 species